CUACGGGUGGCACCAGUGAGGAAUAUUGCACAAUGGGGGAAACCCUGAUGCAGUAACGCCGCGUGGAGGAUGACGCAUUUCGGUGUGUAAACUCCUUUUAUCAGAGAAGAAAAUGACGGUAUCUGAUGAAUAAGCUCCGGCUAACUCCGUGCCAGCAGCCGCGGUAAUACGGAGGGAGCAAGCGUUAUUCGGAAUCACUGGGCGUAAAGGACGCGUAGGCGGGUUUUUAAGUCAGGUGUGAAAUCCUAUGGCUCAACCAUAGAACUGCACUUGAAACUGGGGACCUAGAGUAUGGAGGGGGCAGGUGGAAUUAGUGGUGUAGGGGUAAAAUCCGUAGAUAUCACUAGGAAUACCGAAAGCGAAGGCGACCUGCUGGGACAUUACUGACGCUGAGGCGUGAAAGCGUGGGGAGCAAACAGGAUUAGAUACCCGUGUAGUC
rnacentral:rRNA from 1 species